rnacentral:lncRNA from 1 species
GAAUGUUUAUUUUUCUACUUAUUUCCUUUGAUUCCCUUUACAAUAUAAAAGAUAAGGGAGUAGUUUGAGUUUAAACAGUACUGUUCAAGCUUAUUAUGUGUUACAUUUAUUGUGGUCACAUUAUGCGUGUGAUCCAUGUGGAUUUGCCUGUUUACAGAUUUCCUAUUUACACAGCUGGGAACUGAAAGGUAGUAGCUACCCAAAGGACAUUUGCUCUAUUGGUGAAGAGCGGAGACCAGAUCCUACAGGCCUCCUGAUUUCCAGGUCAACGAUUAAGUUGGAGUCCUCUAGUCAACAGAGUUUAGAAAAAGUUUUGGUAGUGGAAGGACAAGUGUAUCCACAUGAGGAGCGGGGAGCUUUGUGGAAAAGGGAAGAAGAGAUGCAACUGUGGAGCAGAUGACAUUGGAGAAUAGACAAGCCCAAGAGGACUCACACCAAGAGAAAUUUUGAUAGCCAAAGGGCAACGUGAAGGCAUUGAAGUAACACGGAGAUUAAGAGAUGGUACUAGUAGCAUGCAGACGAAACAAAAAAUAAAAUUUGCUUUAAAAUUGG